rnacentral:lncRNA from 1 species
GCACCCACAACCAAAUCCACAUUCAUUGCCUCCUUCGUGCCUACUGAGAGUGCUAAGCACUAUCAAUAUCCUCCCACACAUUCAUGUACAUCUUUUCUACUGACUCAUAUAUCCACUAGACUCAAUGUAAAUCAUCACCACUCAUUCUUGAGAUAUAGUUUUCGGCAUGAAAUGGAAAAUUGAGAAAUUAGGGAUAAAUUAAUUUGUGUAGGCUAGAUAAAUUUAGAGAGAGAGAGAGAGAGAGAGAAAGAGUUCAAGAGAGUUUAACCGUUCAAACUACC